AUAUGAUCAGCAAGACAAUGCAGUUUGAAAGUUAGAAAAAGAUGACAAUUAAUCCGUCCAUGGUGUGUAUAGAGUUAAUGGAGCUUGAUACUGCCACCAAAGGACACGGGGAACCAGAGAGUCAUCUGGCGAGCUAAAAUACCGCCCAAAUUUAAGAACUUUACGUGGAGGAAUUGAUUGCCUUCCGGAUCAUGGUUACAAUCUAAUGGUGUUAAUUGUGAUACAAACAAUGCUUUAUGCGACUGACAAGAGCAUAUUUUUCAUAACAUAUUUAUGUGUGACAAAAGCAAGAGAGGAUGACACCUCGUAGGACUUUGGAAUGCUAUUGAACAAGUUCUCAACACGAACAACAACAUAUCUCAAGAUAGUUCUCGAAUUUAUUUCAGAAGGUGAGUCUGAUACCUAAAGGAUUUAUUAUUUCAAAAAGAAACCGUAUUUUUUUUUUAUAAUGAACUAAAUGACAGGUCUAACACAUCAAAUAUUACAAAUAAUUUUGUUUAAGUAAAAAAACCAUUUUAAUUUGUAGAGAGUGUUACAAUAAAGUAUUUGAGCUCACCUUCAAGUUUUUAAUAAAUUUAAUUUAUAUAAACCAUUAGUGUACAAAAAUAUCAAAUGAAAUCCAUUUCAUAAUAACAAAAUAAGCAUUAGUAUCCACGUUCGUUAUCCAAUUUAUAAAUAGUGUAAAGCUGCAAUUAACGAACGCAUAACCGAAUAGUCACGAUCAUUAUCGGUUAGAAAAUCAAACAAGUUAGUUAGCGCCAAAUUUUCAAGAACUAUCUUUCU
rnacentral:lncRNA from 1 species